GUGCUCGGUUUGUAGGCAGUGUAAUUAGCUGAUUGUACUGUGGCGCUUACAAUCACUAACUCCACUGCCAUCAAAACAAGGCAC
rnacentral:pre_miRNA from 1 species